rnacentral:lncRNA from 1 species
UUUUCUGUCACGCCAUCUUUACGUCACCUGAUCUCUAUAAAUGGAUGAGGACUGAGAGGAUUUGCAGUGAGGCAGCCACAUCUGUACAGAAGAAGCAGAGCAUAGAAAAUACUUAACAGAUGAACAGCAGAUGAGAUGGAAAUGGAAAACCAAGAUAACACUGAAGAAGCAGGAGAAGACUCUGCAAUCAAAUCUGUAACACCAUCUGUGAAUUAUUGCAAAGGCAAAUGUCCUCUCUGUUUUGCAAAAUGUUCCACUGUCUUCUCUAACUUUCCAGUAAAAGAGGAACGUUCACCUAAAGCCAAGUCUGAGUCACUGAAUAAACCUGGUGAAGCUGAACAAGUGGAGCAAAACAAAGUGUUUGAAGUAACAUCUACCACCAUGUUAUCUACCAUCCUCAAGAAAGCAAAUGAAGAGGAGAAGUGUGCAGCUAAAACAGAGUUUGGUAAAGUGAAUGAACCUGAUCACUCACAUAAGAAUGAUGACAGCACAACAGUAGGAGGUGAGUCUCAAAUCAAAGAACAGCAGCUGCAACCAGUGAGAAAUAUAGUUCAUAGAUCAUUUAUAAAAACAGACUUUUCUAAAGGUUUUUUUUUCUCUGAGAGCAUUUAA